rnacentral:lncRNA from 1 species
GCUCGCCAAGUUUUUACGGAGCGUCCGCGGUGUGCCAGGCCGACUCCGUGCAAAGUGGUGGUAGGUUCAACGGGCAUCCCGAGGACCCAGCGUCACAGGGAGGCUGCGAUCCUGCCUCCACGCCCUUGCCUGCCCCUUCAUCUCAAUAAUGAUAAAUGUGCACGAUCACAGCCAGGCGCGGAUGGGUGGGAAGGGCCUGCCUCUCGGGGCAGGGGUUCGCCCAGGGGACCACACCGCUCGAAGACCGCGGGGACGAGCCUGGGAGGACGAGCCCGCCCGCGGAAGCGCAGAGAGCCCAGUACCCGGCGCCCGGGAGCCUCGGGAUCCGUGUUGAUAAUUCAGUCCGAAAUUCGCAUUAUGUUGAAGAAAGACCAGGAAGGAACCCUCCCAAGUGGUGAUGGAGGAGAGACGGAAGGGGCGGACGCAAAUAGUUCAGUAAUAGCCUACUCUAAAGAGAUUUCAGAAGGCGCCGAAAUAGCUCAGUUGGGAGAGCGUUAGACUGAAGAUCUAAAGGUCCCUGGUUCGAUCCCGGGUUUCGGCAGCGCUCCUUUUUAGUCCGAAUGGAGUCAAAUUUCGAGUGAAUUCCUUACCCCGAGUAACGCGGCGCUUUAACGCCAGACCACUUGAAAACAAGGACUUGAAGGAUCAGCGAGCGAGGAGCGGAAACGGCGACUCUCAGCGCCACCCGGGACAGCGGCCGCCCCCACCCCCACUUCCGGGGCGCCUUCCCGGCUGGCGUCGGAGGCGCUGUUGCGCUUGCGCGGUGCGGAGCCCGGGCGCGCCCCCGGCGAGUGGAGGAUGCUGUUCGCCCGUUACCGGGGCCGCACUGCCUUGGGUGCUGGGGUGAGACAGCGCUCCAUGUGUCUCGCGGGGCGAGAAAGACAAUGUCACCCCAAAUUUCAUUCCCCAGAACAUCCCAGUUUGAAAAGCAAGACCCUGCUGUUGAAUCGAGCGGCCCCUCGCGGGCCUUGCCCGUAAAGGAACCCGGCGGCUCCGUAUUUCCGGUUAGAGGUACGGGCUGGGCCGCUCCGGGGCAUAAUUCGGGGUACUUGCCAAAAGGGUGAAAACGUGGCGGCAUCACAGCUCUGUUAAAUUAAUAUCUUGCGCCCAAACAACUUUAUUUGGAGGGUAGACCAGUGGUUCUCAAAGUGGGGUCCCCGGACCAGCAGCCUCGUCUUACACUGGGAGCUAGUUCGAAAUGCAGAUUCUGGGCCCUACCCCAGAGUACUGUAUCAGAAACUGGUUUCCAGCGUUAGGUGUUUUAACAGGCCUUGCGAAUGAGAUUCUGAAGCAGCUGAAGUUUGGGGAUCCACUUAUUCUAGACUUUCCUUUGUGUUUCUCAGAAGAGCUCUUUCCUAAGACUGUUUUUGUGAACAAGCUUUUUCCUUUUGCCGUCUUUUAUCCUGCAAGUCUGAAAUAAAACUUUGACUCGUGCUCG